AUUUGAAAUACAGUUGUAUCUUGAUGGAAAUUUUCACAACUAGGAAUCAGUAAGUCUCAACUUGAGUUGAAGAACAAAUCCAAAUCCUUCUGAAAGUAUAUGGGAAGCAUUUCUGUUGUGAGUGUCUUGUACACAUUUAUGUGUUCAUGGGCUUCUGCCGUGGACCGAGCACUGUGUGCUGAGUGCUUGAGACCCAGAAGUGAACCCUGUGGACAGAAGUACCAGCUGGAGCGUGUGUGGUGUUGGAAGCAGGGAAGGACAGAGGCCGCUGCCCUGGCCUAGGAGCCCCCACCCCUAGAAACACGGCCAAUGGCUUUGGCCUUGGAAGAAUGGAAACGUGGCGGGCUCAUGAAGGCUGUCCUGCCCGCCCACACACAGAAGGAAGAGCAGGAUUAUGUGACAGAUUCCCGGAAAAGAUCCUGGUGGUGCCAUACAGCUCCUGCCGUCAGCAGGAAGGCAGAAGCAGAGUUCAGUGUUCCGGUGUGCAGGAAGCAGUGACAGCAGAGACUUUGCUGGUGGCAGUCGUUCUGUGGGAGUCUCCCCAGGUGGGCAGCGAGCUCAGAGUGCACAGGAGGAAUCAUGGCUCAAGACAGCUGAGAAGUCCGACUGGAGAGUGCAGAACAAACUCCCACCUCCGUUCUCAAACUCACCAGGUGCCCAAGAGUGCAAUUGGUCUGGGGCUGACGUUGACCCACACUCGCUGCAGCUGCCCACCCAGGCCUCCCCUGGGCGAUGCCGGCAUCCCACAGACUCCAGAGCUCCCAGGCGGUGACAGCGGACGGAUUCCAGAGCCGAUGGCUGUCUGGAGAGGGAGACAGGCUCCCAUGCUUCCUGCUCCACUGUCUGUGCAGAACCCCUCCCGACGCCCAGUGUUGAAGAAGAGUGAGCAGUGUCAGACUGGUUCUGGAACCUCGCUAGAAAGCAGGUGCUGGGCCAUCUACAUGCCUUUGUUGUGUGAAGGGUAUAUGAAGAGUGUGCACCAAAACAACUUACCUGUGCCAGGUAACACGUGA
rnacentral:lncRNA from 1 species